CAAUUUAUUGCUUCCUCUCCACCAAUAAUGCCUACUCCUUCAACUCGUUCUAAAAAAAUGGGAUUCCGUGUAAUAAGCUUCUGAUAUUCAGCAAUUCCUGUUAAAAAAUAAUCGCAAAAAUCCAAACAUUUAUCUAUCCACCCAUGAGGUAAAUCAGCAGCGAUUCCACCAAUACGAAAAAAAUUGUGCAUCAUUCGCAUACCGGUGGCAGCUUCGAAUAGGUCAUAUAUCAAUUCUCUUUCUCGAAAAAUAUAGAAGAAAGGAGUCUGCGCCCCAAUAUCUGCCAUAAAAGGGCCAAGCCAUAACAAAUGCGAAGCUAUAUGACUUAACUCCAACAUAAUGACUCUGAUAUAACUGGCCCUUUUAGGGACUUGAAAUACAGGGAAGAUUGGGGCAAUGAGGAGUUCGACGAUUUAGCCUCUUAAUCUAGCAUUGCUACUCUUCUUUGGGAACAGACCGACAGCNCACUAGACUGUUGAGCUAUAGAGUUUAGACUGACUGACUCCAUGGCACUAGUUAAUAGCUAUCAUAGAUCGUUCCGGCCAGUGAUCAUUUGGAAGAUCACUGUCCUCCACUUGCCUAACUACAAGAGAUUCUAAAUCGUAUCUCACCGUAUUCGUUCCAUUCGUUCGUCCUCACUCAUGUAACUUGCCUAGCAGUUGUAAGAGCAGCAACAACAGCCAGGAAAGUCUAGCAACACUUGCUUAGAGGUCUAGCAGCACUGACCGGGAGUCCGGUAGUCCGGAAGGCAACUAGCGAGCAGUGUUCGAAUUCUGAUCGCUUUUACGCGAGAAAGGGGGACCACCCUCUAAGCCUAAGCAGAGAUUCUUUAACCAGAAAGAAUUCGGUUCAGAUGUAGGAUACCUNGUCCCUAUGGACAAGGGGACAAGUGAAUCAUCGCUUUUGGGCGCAGGUUGUGUUCAGUACGAUCUUUAGCCUUUCUUCGUAGAAAAAGAUUCUAUAUCUAUUUUUUGUUUAUAGAUAGAUAUAGAAUUGAAUAUAUUAUUAUAUAUUCCCCUGUUCUUCCGAGAGUCUAAACUUUGUUGCACUGGUCCGAGCCCAAUAGAUCCCAUUUUUUUGAUCGCUCCACAUAGCUCACGACCCGGCACGAAGAAAUCUCUUAGAUGGGCGGAUGCGAAUCUGGAUCUAUCAACGGAGCAAUUCCAUUCCAGUCGUAGUCUCACUAAGACUACAGAAUGUUCUUGUGAAUUAUGACCUUCCCCCGGAAUGUGAGCAAAUAUAUCAUGUCGAUUGCUCAACCGUACUUUGGCUAUCUUACGUGGAGCUGAAUUCGGUUUUUUCGGUGUUCUCGAAGGUGGGAGAAAAGAUAAAACUAAAAUAAACCGGAUUUUUAAUCCAAACUUAAGAUUUAAGUUUGAAACUCAUUUUAUUAACUUCUUUUCGUUAACCCGAAAAAUGGAAUAGAUCUACGAGAAAUCUNGGCCUGUUGAAUAAUUUUUAUGGAUUCUGUCAUUUCACUGAUUCGUACUAAAUAACGAGCUAAUGAAUCCCCUUCGUUUUGCCAUUGGACUUCCCAAUCAAAUUCGUCGUAACACUCAUAAUGAUCAACUUUACGAAGAUCCCAUUGUAUUCCGGAAGCUCGUAGCAUGGGUCCCGACAAACCCCAAUUUAUUGCUUCCUCUCCACCAAUAAUGCCUACUCCUUCAACUCGUUCUAAAAAAAUGGGAUUCCGUGUAAUAAGCUUCUGAUAUUCAGCAAUUCCUGUUAAAAAAUAAUCGCAAAAAUCCAAACAUUUAUCUAUCCACCCAUGAGGUAAAUCAGCAGCGAUUCCACCAAUACGAAAAAAAUUGUGCAUCAUUCGCAUACCGGUGGCAGCUUCGAAUAGGUCAUAUAUCAAUUCUCUUUCUCGAAAAAUAUAGAAGAAAGGAGUCUGCGCCCCAAUAUCUGCCAUAAAAGGGCCAAGCCAUAACAAAUGCGAAGCUAUACGACUUAACUCCAACAUAAUGACUCUGAUAUAACUGGCCCUUUUAGGGACUUGAA
rnacentral:lncRNA from 1 species